UACAGAGACUGCAAGCGUUAUUCGGAUUCACUGGGCGUAAAGGGUGCGCAGGCGGCCGUGUGUGUGGGGCGUGAAAGCCCGGGGCUUAACCCCGGAAUUGCACCUCAAACUACACGGCUAGAGCAUUGGAGAGGGUAGCAGAAUUCACGGUGUAGCAGUGAAAUGCGUAGAUAUCGUGAGGAAUACCAGAGGCGAAGGCGGCUACCUGGACAAUUGCUGACGCUCAGGCACGAAAGCGUGGGGAGCAAAAGGG
rnacentral:rRNA from 1 species